AUUGCUGCGGUGAUCUUGUUCACAUCCUGAAGUCAAUUUAGUGCAUAAAGAAUGGAAUACUUUUGGAUGUAACAUUACCAGAAGACACAGUUCAGAAGUGAUUCUGGUGCACCAUGUCUACCAAUGGAAGUUUAAUCCAUGGGUCAAGACUAGGAGUAGUAUGAAACUCCAGCUUCAGACCACUCACCCAAAGUGCUAAUAGCGGACAUCAGGAGAAAUAACUCUAGAUGUUUCAUUGCAACAAUUGCCUCCUACUGUGCCAUGCUAUUUGGUAAUGUAGCAAUUGCACAUUAAUACAAAGUAAAUAAGAGGUUGCAGACCUCUAUUUCACCGACAUUAUCUUUUUAUAACUGCCUAUAUCAGAUGCCUGAGGAUAAGAAAAGCAAUCAGCCUCUAUUUCCAGCCCUCCUGAUACUUAAUAUUUCAAUAUUUAAUAGUCUAAUACUAACAAUUUAAGUGACCUGUGUAUAAAAUACAUCCUGUAUUGUUCUAAUAAUGUGACAUUAUUAGCAUACCUUUUCUGACCAUUUCACUUUUCUUGAAAGUUGUGCUCUCUUCUUCAAAACUAUUGCCUUGUAUUGAUACUGACAGCAUUUUUUCAAAGCAUAGGACACCCAUGAUCCCACAAGAUGUUUCACUGUUUGGAGGAGAGAUGGUGGGAAAUUCAUCCUGAGCAAUAAAGAAAAAACUAAUCAAGCCAAACUCCCAAAUCUUUUUCUGUUUUUAAAGAGUCAGAAGGCAAAUGACCAAAAAAAAAAAAAAAAAAAAAAAAAAAAAAAAAAAAAAAAAAGAGGGAGAGACUUUAAAUCAGCCAAAAUGGGUAUUCUUGGCUUCCCAGCUACCAGCCCUCAGAGGUGCCUGAAAUCUCUUUUUCCCAGGCAAAACUCAAAUCUGGCAAAGGCUGAGUAGGUAGAACGUUGUCUUUCAUUUCCUUUUAGGUGGAAAACACAUUUAUUUCUGUAGAAGCUGGGCCAUGGCAUGUCAUACAGAACAUUUGUGUGAAUGCAGGGUAGAGGGAUGAGUCCUGUCAAACAUUAUGUUUUCUAUACCAGGAAGGAAUUUGAGAACCUGAGCGAGAAGAGUCCCACAGCAGAAAAUCUGAGAACAAUUGACCUAUGUAGCAGAUGAAAAUUUAAUACUACCAAGGAUCAUUCCCUAUAUGUCCUGGAAGUAAUGCUCAUUGAUGCCUUCCCUCUAGCAAUCACAUUUUACAAUCUGCCACUGAACAAAUUUUUAAUCUAUCCAAUUUGCACCUGCUAAUCCAAUGUACUAUAAGUUUUUAAAUCAUGUAGUGCUAUGUCAAAUACCCUGGAGAAAAUCCUGUAAACUAUGUCAGAACAGCUGCCUUUAUCAAGCAGAAUGGUGAUCUCGUAAAAAAAAAAAAAAUCUAAAUUUUGUAUGACAGGAUCUGCUUUCCAUGAUAGCUUACUAGCUUACUGACUGUCAGUUAGAUUUUUAAUCUGGAAGUCUAUGUUGCUAGAAUAACAAAAUAAUUUUUCAUGAAACUACUGAAUCUAUACUGCUUUCUUCAGUCACUGAACAGAAUCCUCCAAGCAAUCAAACUUGAUUGCAAUUCUCCAUUGUCUUGGAAUUCCCAAAUAUUAAAGUUUGCUUUAAAUACUCUUAGUAAGACAAUCCUUUUGGUAUCUUUAUCCGCAGUCUCUCUCAGAUUUGUAUAUGAGUUACUAAUUAUGAACGUGUCAUCAACAGGACACACAGGACACUCUGAAAGAAAACUACUUGGCUUCAUUUCUUUUAAUUGAUUAAAAUAAUAAUUAAUGCAUUUUAGUUGCAUCAGUAGAAUUACUAUUUGUUAAAAGAAAGUGAAAUGCCCAAAAUAAUAGCUCUCGGGAAUAUUGUUUUACUAGACUCGUCUGGAUAAGUAUGAGUAAAGUUCACUACAAUACAUCUCCAGUGAGAGAUCAAGAAGCAAAAGAAGUGGUUGUUUAAAGUUAACAGCAAGAAGAAAAUACUAUCUGCAAUCUUCUGGUCAGCUCUUCAGCUUUCAUUAGUACUUUUCAGGAGAGAUAAGAACCAAUGGCAGGAAGUUAAGAUGAGCGAAGCAACAGUGGAGGGGCAGAACUUGUGAAGAAAUGUUGAAAUAUUUCUGUAGCUAUCUGUAGAAAGGAUGAUGGUGGAGAAGGUUAGAGACUUCAAACAGUUGAAAUAUCAUUAUACAAUGAAAAGAGAAGUAUCUGUUCUUGGCCUUUAAAUUUGCUCUGACAACAGAGAUUAAGGUUGAGGACACAGAAAGCCUCCUAAAGACGUGAGCAAAGACUUAUAGCUGGUAAUCUAGAGGUUGUGGUGUCUGUCAUUAAAUGUUUUUCUGCCUUGGACUACAAAGUGAGCAGAUUAUCCCCUUGGGUCCCUUCCAGCCCUAAGAGUCUGUGUCACGGCUGUUAGGAACGAGGCUCAUCUGUCAAGGGCCUUUCAUGAGACUGGAAGUCAUGAGACUGAAAGAACAAAGGCAUAAGAAACUCCCUUUCAUUCAGCAUCACUCCUUCCACUUUCUCCUGCUGAAUGUGUUGAUAUUUGUUUUUUGUUUUUUUUUACAUAUCAUCAAAAAUAUAGCCUGGCAUUCUCAUCAUCACAAUAUGGAGUCAGUUCCGUUAUUACAAGCAACACAUGAAGUCACUCUGAAGAGGUCCAUGUCAGUCAUUAAGAGCUCUUUGAAAUCACCUUUUGGAACAAGUGCUACAUAAGUUACAGAGGCAAUCACAUUCCCUUGAAAACUCUGGAUGCCUUGUGCUGAAACAAGAUCAAUUACCAUUAAAGUAUUAAAAAUAUGAUGGAUAAGUAUUACUUAGGGCAUGACCUCUUAUCUAAUGGCUGGCCAGUUCCAUCAUCUGAUCCAUCUCCAUCACCAGAGGACCCUCUGGAGUCGACUCGCAGCCUUGGAGAUUGCUCUCAUGUCAUAGAUUUGGUAGGACCUUUUAUAAACAAUUAAAAUACUUGGAGCAGGAUUAAGAAACAGGUAUAUUCGCUUCUUAUGCAAGCUUGCUUAGCAGGCAGGUUCCAUCUUUGGUUUUCCUACUCAUUCCCGAAUUCUGGCCUAAGAAAUUUGCAAGCUUUCCAAAAAGGUGAACAAGAGUCAAAAGAAAUGAAGAGUUGGACAAUGUCGGGUUCCUCAGUACUCUGAUAAAUAGUCUUUAAAAGGAUGCUCCAACGUCCAUGCCAGUUCCAUAGGCCAGACAUCACUUCCACUGAAGGAUAUCACAGAAUCACAGAAUGGCCUGGGUUGGAAGGGACCCCAAGGAUCAUGAAUCUCCAACCCCCCUGCCAGGCAGGGCCACCAACCUCCCCAUUUACUAGACCAGGUUGCCCAGGGCCCCAUCCAACCUGGCCUUGAACACCUCCAGGGAUGGGGCAUCUACAUCAUCUCUGGGCAGCCUAUUCCAGCACCUCACCACUCUCCUGGUAAAGAACUUCCCCCUAACAUCCAACCUAAAUCUUCCCUCUUUCAACUUAAAACCGUUCCCCCCUUAUCCUGCUGUUAUCUACCCUUUCAAAGAGUUUACUCCUUUCUUGUUUAUAGGCUCCCUUCAGAUACUGAAAGGCUGCACUGAGGUUACCCUGCAUGUUAAGUUUGUCAUCCAUCAGGACCCCCAGGUCCUUCUCUGCAGAGCUGCUCUCAAGGACUGCUCCUUCCAGUCUGUAUAGAUACCUGGAUAUCUUUGGAGUUUUUCUCUGAAGAGUUAAAGGCAGGUGAUGUGAAAGGGCCAAUUUGAUUUCAAUUAAUUAUAUUGCUAUUUCCAUAAUAUAUUCCAAAUAAACCCUUUAGACACAAGCAUAUUUUACAGUCAGCUCCUCUGUGACCUGUCAAGCUGCAGAUUUUGCAUAAUUUUUUCAGGGAUUGUUGCUGACUCCUGCUACCAGCUCAAUUCCAUUUCCAGAAGAGCAUCCAUGUAAAGACAGUUUGCCUCCCACAAGUGUCUGUGUGAUUUUGCUUCACCCUGUGUACUCUGUUGAUCUUUCUAAAGUACCUUUCAUGAUAACAUUUGAGAAUUUAAGCCACAUCUGAAUAUGAGGGAUUGAAACUAGAUGAGGUCCUUUGAGGUCCUUUUCAACCCAGGCCUUUCUAUGAUUCUAUGACUCUAUGAAAACCUCAAUAGGCAAAAAGACAAAAUGCAAAUGGUCCCAUGAAAUCUCUUGAAAUAGAUUUUUUUUUCCUCUGUUGGUAAAUUGGAGAAUUAUGAUAUUUGAAAACUCAGGGUCCAAUUCAAAAACUGCUUGAACCCAUACUCAAAAGAAACUUGUCUCAACAUAGGACAAUGUUCAAUCUCAGCUUCAAGCACUGUCUUGUUUUCAAGUGACUGAUUCUGCUGAUCUCCUUGAGCCAUGCGUUCCUCCAACAAGUACUUGCUUAAGUACUUACUAAAGUACUGUACUCCUUACCCAACUGUAAGGCCACCCAGUUUCCUGCCUACCCCUCUUUGCCUCAUCCCUUGCUCUCCAGUCACCCUUGCCCACCAAUACUGUCAUCAAAUGGAAGAGGUAUAGGGAGGGGUAAAAAGCAUCUUCUGACACAGUGCUAGAGUCACCAAGGUUGUGGAUCAGCACAUUGUAUACACAAAAGGGGCUAUAAAAUUUAGAGGUCAUUAACUGAAAGCUAGCUACCAAGAGCAUAAUGUGGCUUUGAAGAAAUCACCAGAGGAAUUUAGUUCAAUUAAGACCCUAGCAGCAGAAGUAUCUUUACUGCUACAUUUCAAGUGAUUUAUUAGAAAAGUUAUCUUGGUGAAACAUGUAUGCUGCCAUUUUGCUAGGCAGAAUUGUGCUUUACAGGAGUUCAUAACCAGUCUUUAAAAAAUUUUAUGGUCAAACAUUCCUCUCUCUUAAACCAUGUAAAGUCAUGCUAAAGUUAGAGGUGCUGCAUAGAAUGGAAAAUAAUGCAGAGUUAAGGCAGUUUUUAUGAUGAGGAAAGCCACAAAAGUAAUGCCUCUUACUUUAAUAGGUUGGCCCACAACAUCAAAGGCAGCUGUAGGUAGCAUGGCAGUAGAACCUUUCCGCCAAUAUUUUUUUACAUUUUGUUGCUGUAGGACAAAUGGCAGCACAGAGACAAUGUGACACAACAGCAUCUGACAUGGAAGUGCAGAUGGAACAAAGGGCUGUCAUCCAUCCAUGUGGAAAAAAUUGCACCUGUUGACAUUCGUUGACACUGAACGCUUAUGGAGACCAAGCAGUGCCUUACUAAUGAUUUACCAAUCCCAUUUGGUUCUUUCACUUGUGUCAGAGAAAUAUGGUAGGGAGCCUCGUGGUUCAACAAAUGCAUGUAUGGACCUCUAAGAAAUCCUUCUAGGCCUUGAGCAUUACUAUGGAAAUUGCCAAAUUAAAAAAGAUUAUAGCACUUUUUUCACUGUUGAUCAUACACUAUUUUUUUCAAUAUAUGAAAAAUAUAGUAUUCUUCCUUGCUUAACUUCAGAGUUCUUUCAAAGUUCCUUCAAAUUCUUAAAGCCAGAACAAUGAAUUUUUAUUGUAAUUCAAUUAGUUUUUAAAGAAGAUACAUAGUAAGAUGCAUGUAAACGUACUGGUUAAGCUGUAUGUCUUCAUUUCUUCCACUUCAGUGAGUGAGACUGUGUAAAAUAAACUGUAAAAACUGCACCAAAGAGCGUAUUCUCUUUUUAUUGCCUGUCAAAUUAUUGCUGUGACACAUAUAGUUGGCAGUGAAACAUUGUGAUCUACUGUUAGCAAUGAAACACAGAGUGUGAGUUGCUCAUUGAGUUUAGGUAAUGUACCAUAAAACAUUGCAUGAAAACACUAAUUUUCUCAAUAUAUAUUAGUAGACAGACACAGUGUUUACCAACGAGAAGUUGAAGAUGCUUUUAAACAUAGUUUAUUUAUCUGAAGGUUCUCCCAGGCUCUACUUAAUCACUUUAUAUUUGGGGUUGCAAUUAGAGAUGAAUGGCCUAUGUGCUAAAGGCACAGACUCACACUUGACCUAUGUGACCCUCAGUCCUGGG
ensembl:lncRNA